AAUGAACGCUGGCGGCGUGCUUAACACAUGCAAGUCGAACGCGAAAGUCCUUCGGAUGAGUAAAGUGGCGAACGGGUGGCAUAACGCGUAGGAAUCUACCCUUGGGUGAAGGAUACCCUAGAGAAAUUUAGGCUAAUACUGCAUAAGCCGGGAAACCGGGAAAGGUGGCCUCUUGCUACCGCACAAGGAUGAGCCUGCGUACUAUUAGUUAGUUGGUGAGGUAAAGGCUCACCAAGACGAAGAUGGUUAGCUGGCCUGAGAGGGUGUACAGCCACAAUGGGACUGAGAUACGGCCCAUACUCCUACGGGAGGCAGCAGUGGGGAAUAUUGCACAAUGGGCGAAAGCCUGAUGCAGCGACGCCGCGUGGAGGAUGACGGUUUUCGG
rnacentral:rRNA from 1 species